AGAACGAACGCUGGCGGCAGGCUUAACACAUGCAAGUCGAACGCGUGUAGCAAUACACGAGUGGCGCACGGGUGAGUAACGCGUGGAUAUCUGCCUUUUGGUUCGGAAUAACCCCGGGAAACUGGGGCUAAUACCGGAUGGUUCCUACGGGAUAAAGAUUUAUCGCCAAAAGAUGAGUCCGCGUCCGAUUAGCUAGUUGGUGGGGUAAUGGCCUACCAAGGCGACGAUCGGUAGCUGGUCUGAGAGGACGAUCAGCUACACUGGGACUGAGACACGGCCCAGACUCCUACGGGAGGCAGCAGUGGGGAAUAUUGGACAAUGGGGGCAACCCUGAUCCAGCCAUGCCGCGUGAGUGAUGAAGGCCUUCGGGUUGUAAAGGCUCGUUUUGGCGGGGACGAUGAUGACGGUACCCGCAGAAUAACGCCCCGGCUAACUUCGUGCCAGCAGCCGC
rnacentral:rRNA from 1 species